AGUGAACGCUGGCGGUAGGCCUAACACAUGCAAGUCGAACGGCAGCACCGUAAGAGCUUGCUCUUACGGGUGGCGAGUGGCGGACGGGUGCGGAAUACAUCGGAAUCUACUUUUUCGUGGGGGAUAACGUAGGGAAACUUACGCUAAUACCGCAUACGACCUACGGGUGAAAGCAGGGGAUCUUCGGACCUUGCGCGAUUGAAUGAGCCGAUGUCGGAUUAGCUAGUUGGCGGGGUAAAGGCCCACCAAGGCGACGAUCCGUAGCUGGUCUGAGAGGAUGAUCAGCCACACGGUAACUGAGACACGGUCCAGACUCCGACGGUAGGCAGCAGUGGGGAAUAUUGGACAAUGGGGGCAAGCCUGAUCCAGCCAUACCGCGUGGGUGAAGAAGGCGUUCGGGUGGUAAAGCCAUUUUGUUGGGAAAGAAAAGCAGCAGGUUAAUACCCCGCUGUUCUGACGGUACCCAAAGAAUAAGCACCGGCUAACUUCGUG
rnacentral:rRNA from 1 species